AACGAACGCUGGCGGCAGGCCUAACACAUGCAAGUCGAACGAUCCUUCGGGAUAGUGGCAGACGGGUGAGUAACGCGUGGGAACCUUCCCUGUGGUACGGAAUAGCUCCGGGAAACUGGAAUUAAUACCGUAUACGCCCUACGGGGGAAAGAGUUUAUCGCCAUAGGAUGGGCCCGCGUCGGAUUAGCUUGUUGGUGAGGUAAUGGCUCACCAAGGCUCCGAUCCGUAGCUGGUCUUAGAGGAUGAUCAGCCACACUGGGACUGAGACACGGCCCAGACUCCUACGGGAGGCAGCAGUGGGGAAUAUUGGACAAUGGGCGCAAGCCUGAUCCAGCCAUGCCGCGUGAGUGACGAAGGCCUUAGGGUUGUAAAGCUCUUUUGGCGGGACGAUAAUGACGGUACCCGCAGAAUAAGCCCCGGCUAACUUCGUG
rnacentral:rRNA from 1 species